CCUWAAUACGKGCMAGGUCGGAASGGCAGCWCAGCAGAGCUUGCUCUGUGGGUGGCGAGUGGCGGACGGGUGAGGAAUACAUGGGAAUCUGCCCAGUCGUGGGGGAUAACGUAUGGAAACGUACGCUAAUACCGCAUGCGCCCUACGGGGGAAAGCCGGGGACCGCAAGGCCUGGCGCGAUUGGAUGAGCCCAUGUUCGAUUAGCUAGUUGGCGGGGUAAAGGCCCACCAAGGCGACGAUCGAUAGCUGGUCUGAGAGGAUGAUCAGCCACACUGGAACUGAGACACGGUCCAGGCUCCUACGGGAGGCAGCAGUAGGGAAUAUUGGACAAUGGGGGCAACCCUGAUCCAGCCAUGCCGCGUGAGUGAAGAAGGCCCUCGGGUUGUAAAGCUCUUUUGUCCGGAAAGAAAAGCAAUCGGUUAAUACCCGGUUGUUCUGACGGUACCGGAAGAAUAAGCACCGGCUAACUUCGUGCCAGCAGCCGCGGUAAUACGAAGGGUGCAAGCGUUACUCGGAAUUACUGGGCGUAAAGCGUGCGUAGGUGGUUCGUUAAGUCUGAUGUGAAAGCCCUGGGCUCAACCUGGGAAUGGCAUUGGAUACUGGCGGGCUAGAGUGCGGUAGAGGGUAGUGGAAUUCCCGGUGUAGCAGUGAAAUGCGUAGAGAUCGGGAGGAACAUCUGUGGCGAAGGCGACUGYCUGGACCAGCACUGACACUGAGGCACGAAAGCGUGGGGAGCAAACAGGGAUUAGAUACCCUGUUAGUCYACGCCCUAAACGAUGCGAACUGGGUUGUUGGGUUUUAAUUAAACUCAGUAACGAAGCYUAACGCGU
rnacentral:rRNA from 1 species